rnacentral:tRNA from 1 species
GCGGGUGUAGUUUAGUGGCAAAACGAAAGCUUCCCAAGCUUUAGUUGAGGGUUCGAUUCCCUCCACCCGCUCCA